AAACAAAUGUAAUUGGGUUUGUGAGUAAAAUAAUUAACAAUGGGUUAGUGUUGUUUUUCCUUUUUGCUUCACUGGUUGAUUAUACAUUCAAAUAUCCACAUUGUUUAAAAAAGAAAAUAAUCAUUUUUUUUUUAACAACAGAAAAAUAAAAUAUCAUUCAUAUUCAAAAUAGGGUAAUUGGGGGCUAUAACCACGAAAAAAACCAAUAUUCACCAUGUAGCUAUUUAACCUAACGGUUCUAUAGACGCUGUUAGAAAUAUAAAAUAAUACUGUAAUACCCCUAAAAAUAACCGGCUCAACCUGAUACAAAAAUAAUUAAAUAUUUUGAUUAUUCAUCCCUCAAAAUUAACUCGUGUCUCAUCCUUCUUCACAUCUUCUCCUUUUAACUUCUCUGGUAAUUUUGUUGCAGUCGAACGGUCUCCGGCACCGCUUUCAUUCAUCGCCUCCACUCUGCAUGCAAUCAACAUCUUUUCCAACUCCUCCGUCCUCUCUUUUUAAUUUUCUUCGGCGUUACAGUUCUUCGUUAGGAUUUCAGCGGCGGUAGUAAAAAACCCUUUCUACCCAACUUCACCCCUUCGAUUCUUCUCCGAUCUCUGAACCCCCCGUAAGUUCUCCUUCUCUGUUGUAGAUUCUCUUCACAGUGUCGUCCUAUGUGCUUAUUUUCUUCCAAUUUGGGGCUCGUCUCAUAAUCAAAGUGUUAUAGUUUCUAGGUCUGUAUCAUCGGCUGAUGUGAAUUCGAUCGUUCCCGAUUCAGAAUUAGUCUCUAAGUUCUCAGUGUUGCGAAAUAAGUAGUAUAGUAAUUUAAGGGAAGAUGCAUGGAAUAUCAUUGCUUAGAAAUGCUCAGUCGGUACACAUAUUAUGAUAUUUCGAAUCCGGUUUCCAUUUGAAAUGUAAUAGUAUACUUAUCCCAUUCAACUAUUCCACUGAGGAUAUUAUCACUUGCUAUUAUGUUUUGCUUUGCUGCAAUUUGUGGUCGGUUGUGGUUCUCUCUCUGAUGUUCUUAUUCUAAGUUAUGCUUGAAGUGGGGUUUUUGUGGCCGGAGUCGCUGCGAACCUCUAGUCUUCUCUUUUACAUAGGCGAUUCGACUGAGAUAUGUUGCAAUACUAUUUGUCAUGGAUGAGUUGGAGCUUCCAUUCACAUAUUAGAUCGACAUUGUCACUACUGUCUGAGUUCUGGGAGUCUUUUACGGUCGAAAAACUUCUCCCAAAAUCCUAACCUUCUCUGCUUCCAAAACCACCAGCGCGCCACCCCAGUUACAGCCGAGGCGGCGAGGAGCAUCACCCCGACCGACAGUGUUACGGCUCCGCGCAUCCAUCUUCCCAAUCCAAGAUUUGUCACUGUGUGAAGACGAAACAUGAAAGCAUAGUUUGUUAUGCGAUAUAUUAUGUUACUAUACUAUUUCAUCAGGUUCCAUUUCAUUUGACGAUUACUAAAAAGUGCUCUAUUUUUUUUAGAAAUAUAGUUUGUAAUUUCCUUAAGUUCUAACUAUCGUUACAUGUUUUUGAACCUGUAAAAAUUGUACUAUAAUCUAUAUUAUAUAGUGUAAUAUUACAUAAUAUAAUUUAAUAUUACACAUGCACUUUUUAGAUUUUGAUAUUUGGGUUUAGGGUUUAUAUUUGGAUUAAGGUUUAGUGAUUUGAGUUUAGGGUUUAGUAUUUAUAAGGUGAAGGGGUAUAGUUGGGGUCAACAUUAACUUCUUACAUGCAAUCGUAUACAUUUCAUAAUUUCACUAAUAUGUACUAUGUUAUUUAUUUUGUUCCAUUCUAUUUGGGUUUAAGAUUUAUAUUUGGGUUUAGGGUUUAUAUUUGGGUUAUGGUUUAGUGAUUAGAGUUUAGGGUUUAAUAUUUAGAAGGUCAGAGGGUAUGGUUGGGGUCAACAUUAACUUCCUCUUGCCAUCAUAGAUAUUUCAUAAUUUCACCAAUAUGUACAAUGUUAUUUAUUUUAUUCCAUUCUGUUUGGAUUUAGGGUUUAUACUUUAUAUUUGGGUUUAGAUUUUAUAUUUGGAUGAGUUUAGUGAUUAGAGUUUAGGGUUUACUAUGUAGAAGGUGAGACGGUAUGGUUAAGAUCAACAUUAACUUCUUCCAUACAAUCAUGUACAUGCCAUAAAUUCGUUAAUAGGUACUAUGUUAUUUCCUUUGUUCUAUUCAAUGUAGAUUUUGAAUUUAUAUUUGGGUUUAGGGUUUACUGAUUAGAGUUUAGGAUUUAGUAUUUAGGGCUUAGGGUAAGAUUGAAAUAAAGUUUAGUAUCUAGGAUUGUGAAUCUGAUAUGUUUAGUAUUUAGGGGUUGUAAGUAGAGUUAUAAUCCUAAUACUACAAUCAUAGACACUUCAAAAUUUGAACAAUAUAUAUAUGUACUGUGCUAUAUCGUUUGUCAUAUUUUAUAUUCUAUAGCUUAUUUAAAAUGGAAAUGCAUGUUACUUGGGGGUUCAGUUUAUGAAAGAUUGGGGUUGACAUUGGAUUAGAGUUUAUAUUUCCAUAUAGGGUUUAGUGAUUAGUGGCUAGGGUUUAGUUUAUGGAAGAUUGGAGUUAACAUUGGAUUAGGGUUUAUAUUUUUAUGUAGGGUUUAGUGAUAGUUGCUAAGGUGUAGUUUAUGUACGUUCAUAAUAUAUAUUACAUUCCAUCUGACUCAUGUCAAACGGAAAGUUUCGUUGUCUAAAUUGGACGGUUUUACUGAACUCGGCUUGACUUUAUAUAAACCAUUUCGUAUUUUACUUUCACUAUGCAUCUUAUUACAGUUCUAAAAUUAAGAAUACCAUCACUCCAUUGUAAAUGAACUUACAAUAAACCAUUCCACGUACGUGACAUAGUAUGGAAAGCAAUACAAUCAGAAUAGUAUUUAUGUCAUCAUCUUCGGAUCGCCGUUAUGUUAACAGAGAUUCUAUCUUUCUCACAUCUGUUCGUCACUACUUUUGAUUUAUAUCAUCUCUCAUACAUGUUCAAAACAGCUGCGUACAACGAUCCCUAUUAUAUGUGAUUGUUACUGUGGCAGACAAACUCUCCACGUCGUUCACUUUAUAACAACGAACCGGCAACCUGUUAUGGUAAAGGGCAUAACCGGGUAAAAUCAAGCCAAAAAGUCUGACAGUGAAUUACGUCGAAAUCAUUGUUACUUUCUUCAUUUGUUUUUGAAAUCUGGCUAUAUGGCCAAUAAGCCCUUCAAAAUAAUCUCAGAAAAUAAUCACAUUAAAGGCUGAAAUCAACAAGAACUAAACAAAUUCAUAAGUCCACGUAUGCAAUGUUCGAUAUCUCUCAUAUUCAAAAUAUAUCAUUUUAACCUGUAAAGCAUGUUCAACAUCGAAUUCUCAACUUACAUUUAUGUAUACAUAUAUAAAGAGAAUUUCUGAUAGUCUUUUUAGUUUAUUUUCACAAAAUAGCCUCUCCACUACAAGAAAACGUAGCAGUAACAACGGCGUUUUACGAGGAAAUAAUUUCCCCGUAAAUUUACAUACGCUUUACAACGCAAUUACGACGAGACAUAACUUUAUCGUAAACUCCAUGGUAAUUUACGACGAAACGUUUUCGUCGUAAAGUCAAUGUAAGUUUACGACGAAAGUACGUGAAAUGCAAAAUAGUUGUAAACGUUACAUCGACAUUACAACGAAUCAUGUUACCGUUAUAUAAAGGUGAAAACGUGUAUUCAAUGUGCUUUAACUUACCUAGAUUCGUUGUAAACGCGUUGUAAAUUUUCCAUGUAAAAUCCAUGUAAAACUUACCAUAUUUCUCUAUAUAUAUGUCAUUUUUCACAACUCUCUUCCUCACAACACACAACUCUCUUCCUCACAACACACAACUCUUCAUUCAGCCACCAAUUACUAUUUCGAAGAUAACGAUAACGAACAUGAGUCAUUCGUCUGUCUGCCAAUUCAGUGGAGCGACAAGGAGAAAAUGGAGGGAAGUGCAGUUGGUUUAUACUUGAGUGGAACCUCCGACCAUCGUCAAAGGUUCCUCUCAAGUACAAACCAGCUGCACUUCCGUCCACUUUCUCCUUGUCGUUCCACUGAAUUGGCAGACAGACGAACGACACAGGUUUCUUAUCGUUGUCUUAGAAAUAGUAAAUAGUGGGUUAACAACGCAAUUACGACGAAACCAACGAAACCAAAUUUCGUCGUAAACGCCAUGUAAUAUUACGACGUAAGUACGUCGAAAAGAAAACUUUACAUCGAUAUUACAACGAAUCAUGUUACCGUUAUAUUUAGGUGAAAAACUUAUCGAAGUUCGUUGUAAAGUCGUUGUAAAAAAACUAUGUAAAAUCCAUGUAAAAGUUUCCUUGUAAAAUCGUUGUUAUAUUUCAACUACCCAACUCGAAAAUUUCUCUAUAUAUAUGUCAUUUCCCACAACUCUCUUCCUCACAACACACAACUCUCUUCCUCACAAGACCCAAACGGAAAAAAAAAAUUUUAAAAAAAAAAUAGAAGAAAAAAU